UACACACCUUCAGAAUACGCAUUAAAAUAUGAAUCAGGGUAACCUAUCCUGUUCUCUGACGUCAGGACGCAAUCCCCCACGUAGUAAAAUGUGAAGAGCUCGGGCAAACACUAUUUUGCGAUGUCGAGGCUCAAUACGGAGAUCUGCAUGCAGCGUUUCAAUCGCGGACGAGGAAAUGCGACUCGCCAGCUCGCUGCCGGGGAUGAAGAUCGCGCGAUUUAAUGAACAGAUUCCAAUCAAGGCUUGAUAACACACUCGAAACAAGCGGGGACGCAUCUACUUAACCCCACGCAAAGCAACGUGACCCAGAACCUAGUUCCCAACACUCGUCUUGCAGUGCCUCUUCGGAGCAGAAGCGCCUUGACUGUGUUCCAAGCACCCUCUUUCUGGCUCUUGGAUUCGCCUGUUCUUUCCUUUGCAGGGGAAUAAACAAGUCUUGCUUUUUUUGUUCUCUUGCUUCGUGCUUUGAUGCGGGGUCGGCGUUACUACGAGGCAACUAUAUCAGACCCUCAUUUGGUCUUAAUGCUUUCUGCCGUUCCUCCAUAACUCCAAUGCUUUUGAUGCAAGCGCGUGGUACCUAAGUGCUCAUCAAGGAUGCAGAUUUUUUUUUUCGCCCCCUUUCCCAUCCUCGCGCCAGCGCUACACUUGGGCACGAAUGAUUCCAUCACCAGAUCCUGGAUCGGUGACACGAGCGCCAGCUGUGCGCCAGCCUUCUUAACAAAAAAUGUACUAAAAUUGAACGCAUAAGGAAAGCUCUUCUGCAGGGUCGGUUUAUCGUUGUUUGUUGUCGUUGUUGUAGCUGCUGUUUUUUUGUAGUUUCUUCCGUUUUUCCGGUGCACUAAAAAAAAGUUUGGAUAUCGCUGACACAAAUAAAAACAUUAAAAUAAAAACAGAUCCACGAAAACGAGACAGCGCUCGUAAUUUCUAGGCUCCAGAGCUAUACUGGUGUAAGCUGUGGCAAAGCACUGUAUAGGUGGUCGUUCUUAUGUUUUCGUAUAUUUUCUUUUCUGUAAAGGGGGUCGGACGCAGGAUGUCUUAUGCAAGUUCUGUUUUUUUUUCAGGGGGGGUUAAUAGGGCUCUUUCGUGUGUUAGUCCUACCAAAAACGAUUGAGGAGAUACAAGGCGUAACUAAAAUAAAAAAAAAAAAAAUCCGAUCACGCAGAGCUGGCACAAUGGACAUCAAUUCACUCCGGACAAUGAGUUGGAGAGCUUGGCUGCUUGAGUUUCUGUACACGUCCACGCCAGCUUGGACAGUUUGAGGACUAACAACGGACUUCCACAGACUCCCGUCUCGGGGGCUGUGAGAAAAUUAGGACUGGGCUGGAUGGCUGACAAACUUGGGACAUUGUCGUAGUUCCCAAGCUUUCUGUCUCGGCUCGCUCAGGCACAAGUAAUCGCGGCGUUUGAAAUAAAUUGCUUCGGAUGGGGUGGACUCCCGAACAGCUUGUCCUGCUCGAGUUGUAAAGCGGCUGUCUUUAGGAGCGGCUUUGGGUCUCCGGUGUGCUCGGUCUUUUACACGCUGCUUCCACGCUCGUUCACUUUAUUUUAUAAGGAGUGUUUUUUUAAUUCCUGUAUACCUGGACUUCACUUCUUAUUAUUUUGGAUUAUCACGUCUUCCUCACACGCAACAGGUGCCGAAGGAAAGCAUCUCAUUGGCUGGAAAAGGUGCACACAAAUGAAGCUCGGGCUGUCUCCGAUUCUGAAGGUGUCCUGUGUCGCUCCUUCCGGCUGCUUCGGAAAUCCUGGGCAAAGAGGAAGCGCGUGCCGACACCGCCAGUCCAGGUGCCACGAGCCCCACUGAAGUGUUAAUUAGCGAGGAGAGUGUUAAUUAGAGAGGCACAUUAAUAAAAGCAGCAGCUUCCUCUACCAUCUACAAAAGACUCAGACCGAGGACGUCAUUCACCCGAGGGUUCGUGAGAAAACCCCCACCUUCAAAACCCACCCAGACAACCGGUCGUUUUAACAAGGCAACUCUGACAAGCAGAGCAAUGAGUUCCACCAGAGGUUGGGUGAGAACCACCCUGCACCCUAGGACUUGGAUAGAUGGGCCCUGAAGCGCCACAAGCAAGCCGGCCCAAGCUUGAGGAAUCUCUGGGGAUGUGGGGAUGGCUUCUGUUACACAUAAUUAGCGGUUCAGAGUGGUAGCCACGAUAGAGGAGGAGGAGGAGGAGGAUACAGCUGAACUCAGAGCUUGCAGCUGCUCAUUGCCAUGGGCUCUUCAUCCCUCACCGUCUCCCUGAGAAGACAGGGCUAUGUACAGGCUCGGCCCCGGAGUGGGCAGGCAGGCUCCAGAGCCCCGCGGCUCCCCGUCUAUACAAGCCGCCUCAGCGAAAUCAAUACGCCGAAUACACAGCAGGGUCACACCACGCAGCCCUCAACGCCGCACGCAGGGAGCCCACAGCACACGCACUGGAGCAGUCAGGUCCAGGCUGUACAGGGCAGCAACACAACCUUGGCUUGCAGGGGUGCAGUGUUUAGUUUUGCCGACGGGAGUGGAGACGGUCUACUUUCUAACCUGUAGAUCAGCUCUAAAAGUUACAUACAUACAUACAUAAAAAACACAAGAAGCCUUUAGCUUCAGCACAGAAGAAGCAGUUUUGAGAAGGGUAGAUCACAAUAAAGAAACAAAAGUCCAAUGUAGUAUGUACAAAUGUACACAGCACACAGCGACUGCCACACUGCGCCAGUACGCCGCAACUAGAGGCUACAGAGGUGGGAAGCCAACACAUGCACGUCCGUUAACAUCACAGACCUCACUCCAGUGCCAGAACCAUCAGGCUUUCACUUUCUUUCAAUGUGACAGUCUGGCAUUUCGGGGGGUACACCUGUCCAUUCCUACCAACCAACAUUUAAGUUAUUUCAUUAAAUCAGUGCAGACUUUGGGACACCCAAAAAAACAGGACCAUUAAAAAUAAGAUGAAGUUCUAAUUCAGAGCAGCAUGCAGAAUCUAAAAUAAAACUCUUUUACAGCGAGGUUUACCUUUUUGAGCUGUUCCCCCUAUUGGAUUUGCGAUGGGAUCCAACUGCACUAGUUCCCUAACUUGAAAACACUUGAUAAAGUGACUGCUGGGAUGAACAGGGUUAUCUUUCUCCAGGAAGACACAGCCAUAUUCCCAGCCUUGGCUAUCCAAGGAUUGAUCCAGUACCCUGAGGGCAUCAACCGCAAAGUGAACGGACCUGGAACUGAUUUGACUGGAUCGGAAUGUCUCAAAACGGUAAUAAAAGGCUGCCCAGAUGUGCAGAAAAUAAACUCCUCCACAGCGACAGGAUGAAAUAGAACGCGAAAGCUCCGUGUUCCUAGCUCUAGAACCCUCACUGUGCAGUGCCAGCAUGGGGACGGAGAGACUGAGAUAUCAAGACAUGGCAACAUCAGCAGGAAUGUGUCUGGAAAUGUGUUGGCACUGAUUGGAGACCUGGACAGCAGCAGGUGAGGUUUUCUGCAGUGGGGCUUCUGCUGCAGAUUAAGAUGAAGUCAUCGUCUAUUUAUAAUGGGAGUGUAGGUAUUCGCAAGUAAGCAUAUAUCUCCCAAUAAUGAGUUUCACAUGUUCUGUGUGCUAUUUAAACAUAUUUCACAAGCACUGCAUUAAAAAAUAAUGAAGGAAAAAAAAUAAAUCAGUUUGAAGAUGAAUUCUGUAUUUCUUUUGCAUCUGGCAUACUGAACUUAAUAACCUAUUUUGUAAUAUUUAGUCAUGUAUUUUAGCUGCAGUAUUUGAUAUUGUGCUAUAAACCUGAUUUAAGUUUAAUUUUGGGGGGGUGGCAUUUAAAAAAUGUUACAUUUUGAUCUUUCUUAUCCCUUAAGCAAAGUUAAAGUGUUUUUGCAUGAAUCUCUGGUAUUUCUUUUUAAUAAAAUUCUGUUUAAAAAAAAAAA